GGGUGCGAUCAUACCAGCACUAAUGCACCGGAUUCCAUCAGAACUCCGAACUUAAGUGUUCUUGAGCGAGAAUAGUUGUAAGAUGGGCUUGUCUUAUGACUU
rnacentral:rRNA from 1 species